UAACUGCCAAAAAAUGUAAAUUAAAAAUGUGUUUCCUAUUUUUUUUCCUUUCAGGGAAAUCUUGAGGAGUUGGACACUUUUCUUCCUCCAGCAUUAAUUAUUUUGUGGGAGGAGGCUGUACAUUGGUGGGAAUAAAAAGCAAGCAGUUCCUGGCCCAUAAUACUCCAGCCUAGGAUGUCUGACUGAUGGCAUGCUGGCACCAGCAUUGGAGGAAGUGAUGAGCUUCAGCUCCAGGUUCCUGUCCUGAGACCACAGCAGGAUGUGCCUUGGUCAAAGGCUUGGACUCUUGGAUCAUCUGGUGACUUCAGAAUUCUGUUUCAUCCAUUCUUCACUGCUUGAAACAUUCCCCUUUCCUAUACAAGGUAAAUCCAAAAUAUCAGGAGAGUUAACUAUGGCUAAAGCAAUGCAUACUUUCUGC
rnacentral:lncRNA from 1 species